CUCCCAGCUCCUCGCUGCUGUCCACGCCUUUCACACUUGGCCUCAAGCCCUUCAGGGGCUCCCUGUUGUCUCCCACCUGGCCCCUGCACAUUUGUCUUCCUGCUCUCUAAGCUGCAUUAACAGUAGCUUUUCUGUUUCUCAAGGGACCUUGGUCUUUGCUGCCUGGAGUGGUUUGCACAAGCAGCGUCCUCUGCCUGAACAGCGCGUCCCCUAGUUAACUCUCCUGCAGCGCGACUCUUCUGAACACACGCACCCACCUGCCGCCCUGGGGAGUGCCUCCCCUCCUUACAGUCUCAGUAAAUAAAUGAGUUGAAGAUGGCAAGGGAAGGAAGAGAGACCAAGGGCAUUAGGAAUGUGGCAGACCUGAGUUCGAAUCCCAGCCCAUCACUCUCCAGCUGUGUGAGUGGUUUCUCAUCGAGUCUCCCAGGCUGGGCUCAAACAGUGCAAUCCUCCUGCCUCAGCCUCGUAGAGUGCUGGGAUUGCAAGCUCGCACCACCGCAACCACUUCCAUUUUUACCUCCUUAACACAUGCUGAAACGAACUGAGUCAGUUUGUUUCUCAGCAGUUUUUCUUUGUCCCUGCCAAUCUCUCCACUCUGCCCACUGCCCACCACCCUCCGGGUCUGAAUUGUUUUGAAGUGAGGUGACAUUUACCCAUUAGGGGGCACCCUUGUUGUUCAAGCAGAAGCCUCUGGAAAGGAGCAGAAGGAUUGGUUUGGCUUUGCUUUCCAGCCAGGCUAGGCUCAAACUAGAGACCUGUCCCAGAGACCUCGCGGGAGGGAUUGGAGCACACAGCUGUUUACCCACAUUGUGUAAGUGCCGGCGCAACCUUGCCAGGGAGGUGCAACCAGGCCGGCGCGUCCGUGGAGUAGUACUCAGCCCUAAGAGGAGGAAAUAACGCCGUAGAGAGAAUGAAAUCGUGUCCUUUGCAGGAAAAUGAGUGAAACUGGAGAUCAUCACUUUAAGUGACACAAGCCAGACACAGAAAGGCAAGUGUUGCAUGUUUUCUUGCGUGCGUGGAAUUUAGGGGGGAGAAACAACAUGAAAGUGGACGGGACAUGAUGAGAGAAAAGGAAGGGGUUGGAAGAGAUGGGGCGGGAAGGAGGAGGGAGGGCAGCGUCCCGGGGGAACGAGAUCGGAGUGUGCACACGCACGUGUGGAAAUGCCGCCCCAGCCGUGACUGUGUAUGACCAAUGUGCGCUACACAACCAAAGCCAAGAACACAGGGCUUCGCGCCGCGCUGGGCACGGCGGGGGAACAGCAGGGACAGCUCUUCAUGACGUCACCAAUUUCACUCCUGCUCUUGAGGUCUCCAGGAGGACAGAGGACGGACCAGACCAGACAGAGCUUGUAAAGUACCGUGCAACCCAGCUGAAGCUAGGCUGAAUUUUAACUUUGAAGCCAUUCAUCAAUAUUUUGUUUCCAUGGUUGUGCCCAUUCCUGCAGCUCAGAAUCCACCUUCACAGUCCCUGCUGUCGUCCUUUAUCAGAGACAUCCGCCCAAGGUGCACCCGAUUCUGCCCAUCUGCACCAACUCUGCAGGGGUAGCGUUGGGUGACGCCUUCCCUGCCUCUCCUGUCAAUCAUGGUGGCCAUCGGGGAAGACUUAAUUGUUGUUUGUGGAGCUGAUUAAACUAGGUCCAGUCUGCGUCCAUCACCAGGGCUGUUAUCUACGAGUCUGAAGACAAAUUACUGACAAGAGCAAGCGCUUAAUGAAUAUUGGCUCUCUUCUAAUGUAUAUGUAUUGAUAGAUUUCCAUAGGUAGUGAUACAUGAGAAUAUAUACAGCAAAAAGAUAGAAAGCUAUAAAUAAGAACAUUUAGGUAAGAGCUGUGAGAAUGUACAUGUAUGUUAUAAAGUUUUAAGCCUCUCAUCAGCUCUGCAAGGAAGGUACUGUUCUCAGCACACCCAUUUUACAGAUAUGCAAGCUGAAGCCAGAGAUGCCAGAUGAAGCUUCAGCACCCAUUACCUUUACUGUCAGCUAUGCUGUGAGGCUGGUACCUGAGUCACCGGGCGGCAGAGUCCAGGGCCACUCACAUCCCACACGCACUGCAGAAGGCAGCGGCUUCCUGGACAGGUUUCCCCUGUGAGCGGCAGUCUCACGUCUGGGUGCUGCUGGCUCCUGGUGUCCUACAUCUGGGACAGCAGCCUACGGAACUGAUCGCCAGCUUCUCCACCGCUGACCAGCCGGGACACCUUGUAUCGCCUGCUCUCCUCCAGCUCUCGGUUUGUCUACCUGCAAAGCAGUCACAGUGGUGCUGGGCUCUGGGCGGUGCUUGCUGUAACAGCCAGGCGAGCAGGGUAACUCCCUCCCCUCUCGCCAUCCCCGGCACUUUCCAGGGCUCGGCCUCAGGUAUCCCCUUGGCAAGCAGGGACCUGACCACUCAGGACUGUCUAGAGGAUCCAGGGGAUGGUUAGGCUCCCGGCCUGGAACGGAGAAGGUGUCCACACAUCAUGACUCACACUGAAAGUCACAGCCAGGACGGGAGGAUCAGCUGGAGCACAGCAAAGUUGGAGCCAGGGAGGAAAGCAGGAUUUGCAAAUGGUUCAGCAAGACCACAUUUAUUAAUGCAGUUCAGUUGUAUAAUUCUUUGUAUAAUUAGCAAGAGAUCAUAACGCUGAGUGAAAGAAAUCAGACACAGAAUGGCAGAGGGUGCGUGCUUUCUCUGCUAUGAGAAACCCAGGACAAAUAAUUUAAACAGCAAAAUAUAAAGGAGAGGUGGUGUGGAUUGACCACUAGGGUGGUCAACUUACAACCCCCAGCUGAACUGAGUAAGCGUGGCGCCGGGUGUGGGAGGCCCACC